rnacentral:sRNA from 1 species
GCUGGGUAAGGUGGCGCACACCUAUAAUCCCAGUGACUUGGGAGGCUGAGGCAGGAGAAUCAUGAGGAGUUCAAAGCCAGCCUCAGCAAAAACAAGGCCCUAAGUAACUCAGUGAGACCCUGUCUCUA